AGCAGUAGUCUUGGGUUCCUGAUGCUGCCAUGGGCUCCAGGCUCCUCUGCUGUGUGACUCUCUGCCUCCUGGGAGCAGGCCUGGUGGAUUCUGAAGUCACCCAGACCCCCAAAUACCUGAUCAAAUCAAGAAAGCAGCAAGCGACUCUGAGAUGUUCCCCUGAGUCUGGACACUUCUCUGUGUACUGGUACCAACAGGUCCUGGGCCAGGGCCCCCAGUUCCUCGUUCAGUAUUACAACCAGAAAGUGAGCGGAGAAGCUCACCUCCCGGAUCGAUUCUCAGGAAAACAGUUCAGUGACUCUCGCUCUGAGCUGAACCUGAGCUCCUUGGAGCUGAUGGACUCCGCCAUGUAUCUCUGUGCCAGCAGCCAAGACACAGCCCUGCAUGAUCAGAUGCCUCUGACUCGGGAAGCACAUACUUUGGCGAACGUGAAGGCGCUGUACCUGCGUUUGGCGGGUGUCCUGUCUGUUAGUGAACUGAGAAGAAACAGAGCCAAACGAUUUCUCAAAUACUGA